rnacentral:rRNA from 1 species
CCUCGGAGAGUUUGAUCCUGGCUCAGGACGAACGCUGGCGGCGUGCCUAAUACAUGCAAGUCGAGCGGACAGAAGGGAGCUUGCUCCCGGAUGUUAGCGGCGGACGGGUGAGUAACACGUGGGUAACCUGCCUGUAAGACUGGGAUAACUCCGGGAAACCGGAGCUAAUACCGGAUAGUUCCUUGAACCGCAUGGUUCAAGGAUGAAAGACGGUUUCGGCUGUCACUUACAGAUGGACCCGCGGCGCAUUAGCUAGUUGGUGAGGUAACGGC